CCCCUCUCAGGAUCAUACCUGGGGAAUUUCCAGUACUCUACCAGUCUCGGCUAUGGAAGGGAGAGUCAAGCAGAGGCAUGCCCAUUCCAUUCCUAGCUUGGGCAGUGGCUAGCGAGUGGAAGGCAAUCUGCUACAAGU
rnacentral:snoRNA from 1 species